GACGAACGCUGGCUGCGUGCUUAACACAUGCAAGUCGAACGCUGAAGCCGGGUGCUUGCACCUGGUGGAUGAGUGGCGAACGGGUGAGUAACACGUGAGUAACCUGCCCCUGAUUUCGGGAUAAGCCUGGGAAACUGGGCCUAAUACCGGAUACGACCACCGAACGCAUGUUCGGUGGUGGAAAGUUUUUCGAUCGGGGAUGGGCUCGCGGCCUAUCAGCUUGUUGGUGGGGGAAUGGCCUACCAAGGCGACGACGGGUAGCCGGCCUGAGAGGGCGACCGGCCACACUGGGACUGAGACACGGCCCAGACUCCUACGGGAGGCAGCAGUGGGGAAUAUUGCACAAUGGGGGAAACCCUGAGGCAGCGACGCAGCGUGCGGGAUGACGGCCUUCGGGUUGUAAACCGCUUUCAGCAGGGAAGAAGCGAAAGUGACGGUACCUGCAGAAGAAGUACCGGCUAACUACGUGCCAGCCGCCGCGGAA
rnacentral:rRNA from 1 species